rnacentral:rRNA from 1 species
AGUCGAGGGGUAGAAAGAGCUUGCUUUUUUGAGACCGGCGCACGGGUGAGUAACGGGUAUGCAACCUACCUUAUACAGGGGAAUAGCCCGAAGAAAUUCGGAUUAAUGCUCCAUGGUUUAUCGAUAUGGCAUCGUAUUGAUAAUAAAGAUUUAUCGGUAUAAGAUGGGCAUGCGUAUCAUUAGCUAGUUGGUGUGGUAACGGCAUACCAAGGCAACGAUGAUUAGGGGUCCUGAGAGGGAGAUCCCCCACACUGGUACUGAGACACGGACCAGACUCCUACGGGAGGCAGCAGUGAGGAAUAUUGGUCAAUGGAGGCAACUCUGAACCAGCCAUGCCGCGUGCAGGAUGACGGUCCUAUGGAUUGUAAACUGCUUUUGUACAGGAAGAAACCUCCCUACGAGUAGGGACUUGACGGUACUGUAAGAAUAAGGAUCGGCUAACUCCGUGCCAGCAGCCGCGGUAAUACGGAGGAUCCGAGCGUUAUCCGGAAUUAUUGGGUUUAAAGGGUUCGUAGGCGGCUUUGUAAGUCAGUGGUGAAAUUUCCUAGCUUAACUAGGACACUGCCAUUGAUACUGCAGAGCUUGAAUAAUAUGGAAGUAACUAGAAUAUGUAGUGUAGCGGUGAAAUGCUUAGAUAUUACAUGGAAUACCAAUUGCGAAGGCAGGUUACUACGUAUUUAUUGACGCUGAUGAACGAAAGCGUGGGGAGCGAACAGGAUUAGAUACCCUGGUAGUCCACGCCGUAAACGAUGGAUACUAGCUGUUCGGUUUUCGGACUGAGUGGCUAAGCGAAAGUGAUAAGUAUCCCACCUGGGGAGUACGUUCGCAAGAAUGAAACUCAAAGGAAUUGACGGGGGCCCGCACAAGCGGUGGAGCAUGUGGUUUAAUUCGAUGAUACGCGAGGAACCUUACCAGGGCUUAAAUGUAGAUUGACAGAUUUGGAAACAGAUUUUUCUUCGGACAAUUUACAAGGUGCUGCAUGGUUGUCGUCAGCUCGUGCCGUGAGGUGUCAGGUUAAGUCCUAUAACGAGCGCAACCCCUAUUGUUAGUUACCAGCGCGUAGUGGCGGGGACUCUAGCAAGACUGCCGGUGCAAACCGUGAGGAAGGUGGGGAUGACGUCAAAUCAUCACGGCCCUUACGUCCUGGGCUACACACGUGCUACAAUGGCAAGUACAGAAAGCAGCUACCUGGCAACAGGAUGCGAAUCUCCAAAGCUUGUCUCAGUUCGGAUUGGAGUCUGCAACUCGACUCUAUGAAGCUGGAAUCGCUAGUAAUCGGAUAUCAGCCAUGAUCCGGUGAAUACGUUCCCG